rnacentral:rRNA from 1 species
AUGGUCCAUGGACCACAGCCUGCAGAUGCCGACCCAUCUUCAUUGCUAUGGUGUCGUGACGACAAUUUGUUCAAGCACAACUUCCAGUUUGCCAAGAACUCGGCCAAAGAAAACAAGAAGUCGCGGGGAUUAGACUUCAAUCCGGGCCCCUCUGCUCCUCGUGCCGAUGGCACACGCGAAGCUGAACCCAAUCUUGUUGGGCCCUUCUACAACCUAGAAGUCUCAUCACUCAUAUUCUGGUUCAAGGGACAGCCGUGGAUGAGCCUGCAGACGACGCUGAUUCUGAUGAAGCGCCUGCACCACCGAAGCCAAAGAAGCUGA